UACGAAGGGGGCUAGCGUUGCUCGGAAUUACUGGGCGUAAAGCGCACGUAGGCGGAUCUUUAAGUCAGGGGUGAAAUCCUGGAGCUCAACUCUAGAACUGCCUUUGAUACUGAGGACCUUGAGUUCGGGAGAGGUGAGUGGAACUGCGAGUGUAGAGGUGAAAUUCGUAGAUAUUCGCAAGAACACCAGUGGCGAAGGCGGCUCACUGGCCCGAUACUGACGCUGAGGUGCGAAAGCGUGGGGAGCAAACAGG
rnacentral:rRNA from 1 species